UACAUGCAAGUCGAACGAGAUUUGAGACUUGCGGUUUCAAUGAAAGUGGCGCACGGGUGCGUAACACGUAUGCAACCUACCUCUUACAGGGGGAUAGCCCGGGGAAACCCGGAUUAAUACCCCAUGGUACUAUUGAUUGGCAUCAUGAGAUAGUUAAAGAUUUAUCGGUAAGAGAUGGGCAUGCGUCUGAUUAGCUAGUUGGUGGUGUAACGGACCACCAAGGCGACGAUCAGUAGGGGUUCUGAGAGGAAGGUCCCCCACACUGGCACUGAGAUACGGGCCAGACUCCUACGGGAGGCAGCAGUAGGGAAUAUUGGGCAAUGGGCGAGAGCCUGACCCAGCCAUGCCGCGUGCAGGAAGACGGCCUAUUGGGUUGUAAACUGCUUUUAUCUGGGAAGAAAAUGCUCCUGCGGGGGAAAUUGCCGGUACCAGAUGAAUAAGCACCGGCUAACUCCGUGCCAGCAGCCGCGGUAAUACGGAGGGUGCAAGCGUUGUCCCGGAUUUAUUGGGUUUAAAGGGUGCGUAGGCGGCCUGUUAAGUCAGCGGUGAAAGACCACGGCUCAACCGUGGCAGUGCCGUUGAUACUGGCAGGCUUGAGUGCUGCAGGGGUACAUGGAAUUGAUGGUGUAGCGGUGAAAUGCAUAGAUACCAUCAGGAACACCGAUAGCGAAGGCAUUGUACUGGGCAGCAACUGACGCUGAUGCACG
rnacentral:rRNA from 1 species